rnacentral:rRNA from 1 species
GACGAACGCUGGCGGCGUGCCUAAUACAUGCAAGUAGAACGCUGAAGGAGGAGCUUGCUUCUCUGGAUGAGUUGCGAACGGGUGAGUAACGCGUAGGUAACCUGCCUGGUAGCGGGGGAUAACUAUUGGAAACGAUAGCUAAUACCGCAUAACAGUAGAUAUCGCAUGAUAUCUACUUGAAAGGUGCAAUUGCAUCACUACCAGAUGGACCUGCGUUGUAUUAGCUAGUUGGUGAGGUAACGGCUCACCAAGGCGACGAUACAUAGACGACCUGAGAGGGUGAUCGGCCACACUGGGACUGAGACACGGCCCAGACUCCUACGGGAGGCAGCAGUAGGGAAUCUUCGGCAAUGGACGGAAGUCUGACCGAGCAACGCCGCGUGAGUGAAGAAGGUUUUCGGAUCGUAAAGCUCUGUUGUAAGAGAAGAACGAGUGUGAGAGUGGAAAGUUCACACUGUGACGGUAUCUUACCAGAAAGGGACGGCUAACUACGUG